rnacentral:rRNA from 1 species
NNNNNNNNNNNNNNNCCCCUAGUAACNGCGAGNGAAGNGGGAAAAGCUCAAAUUUAAAAUCUGGCAGUCUKGGCUGCCCGAGUUGUAUUCUAGAGAAGNGCUUUCUGUGCUGGACCGUGUACAAGUCUCUUGGAACAGAGCGUCAUAGAGGGUGAGAAUCCCGUCUUUGACACGGACUACCAGUGCUAUGUGAUGCGCUCUCAAAGAGUCGAGUUGUUUGGGAAUGCAGCUCAAAAUGGGUGGUAAAUUCCAUCUAAAGCUAAAUAUUGGCGAGAGACCGAUAGCGAACAAGUACCGUGAGGGAAAGAUGAAAAGCACUUUGGAAAGAGAGUUAAACAGUACGUGAAAUUGCUGAAAGGGAAACACUUGAAGUCAGUCGCGUUGGCCAGAACUCAGCCUUGCUUUUGCUUGGUGCACUUUCUGAUUAACGGGCCAGCAUCAGUUUUGACUACAGGAAAAAGAUUAGAGGAAUGUGGCACCUUCGGGUGUGUUAUAGCCUUUAGUUGCAUACUGUGGUUGGGACUGAGGAUCUCAGCACGCGCAAGUUGUGCUUAGGAUGCUGGCGUAAUGGCUUUAAAUGACCCGUCUUGAAACACGGACCAAGGAGUCUAACAUGCCUGCGAGUAUUUGGGUGGAAAACUCGAAUGCGUAAUGAAAGUGAAAGUUGGGAUCUCUGUCGUGGGGAGCACCGACGCCCGGACCAGACCUUCUGUGACGGCUCCGAGGUAGAGCAUGUAUGUUGGGACCCGAAAGAUGGUGAACUAUGCCUGAAUAGGGUGAAGCCAGAGGAAACUCUGGUGGAGGCUCGUAGCGAUUCUGACGUGCAAAUCGAUCGUCAAAUUUGGGUAUAGGGGCGAAAGNCUAAUCNAACCNNNNNNNNNNNNNNNNNNNNN